CAAAGCAGCAAUGCGCUUGGAGAGGAGUUCGCGGCCGAUUAGUUAGUUGGCGGGGUAAUGGCCCACCAAGACGAUGAUCGGUAUCCGGCCUGAGAGGGCGCACGGACACACUGGAACUGAAACACGGUCCAGACUCCUACGGGAGGCAGCAGUGGGGAAUUUUGCGCAAUGGGGGAAACCCUGACGCAGCAACGCCGCGUGGAGGAUGAAAUCCCUUGGGAUGUAAACUCCUUUCGAUAGGGAAGAUAAUGACGGUACCUAUAGAAGAAGCCCCGGCUAACUUCGUGCCAGCAGCCGCGGUAAUACGAGGGGGGCAAGCGUUGUUCGGAAUUAUUGGGCGUAAAGGGUGCGUAGGCGGUUUGAUAAGUCAUCUGUGAAAUCUAUGGGCUCAACCCAUAGUCUGCAGGCGAAACUGUCGGGCUUGAGUAUGGGAGAGGUGAGUGGAAUUUCCGGUGUAGCGGUGAAAUGCGUAGAUAUCGGAAGGAACAACUGUGGCGAAAGCGGCUCACUGGACCAUU
rnacentral:rRNA from 1 species